UACGAAGGGGGGCAAGCGUUGUUCGGAAUUACUGGGCGUAAAGGGCGCGUAGGCGGCCCGCCUUUGUCAGGUGUGAAAGCCCCAGGCUCAACCUGGGAAUUGCACUUGGGACGGGGUGGCUUGAGUUCGGGAGAGGAGAGUGGAAUUCCCAGUGUAGAGGUGAAAUUCGUAGAUAUUGGGAAGAACACCGGUGGCGAAGGCGGCUCUCUGGACCGAUACUGACGCUGAGG
rnacentral:rRNA from 1 species